GUUCAUAUUGAAGCUACUCUCAGCAGCCGUCGUGUACCGCGUUUUAAACGUGUUAUUGUUUAAGAAGCUGCUGACGGUGGAGCAGGGCGCAAACUUGAGUUUUUCAAAGUGCGCAACUGGUGAACAAGCUCUGUCAGCAGGGAGGUCAGGGUGUGUUCCCUCGUGCACAAUGAAUAUGGUUUAUUCAUGUUUUAAAUGAGUGAAUAUCGGUCUCUUUUUGCCGGCAGCACUCUGACAGAGGAACUUCACCUAGCACGAACUUUCUCUACAUGCACGUGCUGGUUGUAGAUGUGGGUUGUUAUGACUUUGCGACAACAUGGGUGCGUGGACUGCGCCCCACGGAGCGGGGAAGCCGAGAGAAAAGGCGAUUCAGCCUACAGGGAAAGUCCCGAGUUUCCUCACUCUCUCUUCAUUGUCGGUCUCUAUGGUGUAUGUUUAAUCUAUUUUUUUUUUCUUUGUUGCAACUGUUAUCCUUGCAGUAGAUCUUGCAUUUAUUUGGAAUCCUCUCUGCCAAUGGCUGACUGGAUUUGGUGAAUGCAGUGUGAUGAUGUGGGGGUCAGUAUAUGUGCCUUUCUGGAUGUACAAGUUUUGCCCUCAUGUGAAACAACCUCAGUGCAGAUGUGGAGAUGUGAUCCUGUAAGCUGUCUCAAUAACAUAAAGGAGCAGAGACCAAGUUGGUCAACACACGUGUUCCAGUGUGACCAAACAAAACUACAUUUGCUGAUUUAUUACUAAUCCCGGUUGAGGAAUAAAAUGGCAUCCGUCAGUAAUGUGUCACCAAGCUGAUGAUCAGCAGGAUCAUCAUCUGCUGCAGUUGUUCGCUUCACUGACAUUCUGCUAAGGUUCCUGUUUGCUAAGUGAAUAAAUUCAGUAAACCAACAUGUGUUGUAUCUUUAAACUUCAAUCAUCCAAUCAUGUAAAUGUUUCCCAGUCAUGAGCAGAAUAUGCUGUUUAACAUUGGUAGAGUGGGUUUGGCAAGCUGUUCACGCCACAACUAACAAAGCCUUUAAACAUGGCAACAUUUGAAGGUAGAUUAAUAUAACAUAUUGUUUUUGGGAGACAUAAAUUCUCAUUCAAGCGGUAGGCAGUUAUGCCCCCAUCAGGCUUUUACUGGCCUUUGCUGAUUUCUGGUUUUCUGUGAGGUCUGACCUGUUAGUCUGGAUUUUAAUCAAACCCUGUUUUCUCUCCAAGUACCACAAAGCAAACAGAUUCAUUUGUGUUAACUUUAUUUUAUUUUACCAAUUAAAUGUAACAAACUUUGGCUCCAAAAUAAGGAGUCUGGUUCUACUACAACUUGCUUGAUUUUUUUUUCUUCUAUUUUGGUGAAUCCAGCAGGAAGUUCCAUGUUUACAUAUAUACAGUAUAUCCCCAUUAUCCCCACCAAAGUGUAUCCCGGAAAUCCAUUGGCUGAUUCCUGAGCAAAAU